GACGAACGCUGGCGGCGUGCUUAACACAUGCAAGUCGAACGGAAAGGCCUCUUUCGGGGGGUACUCGAGUGGCGAACGGGUGAGUAACACGUGAGUAACCUGCCCUUGACUUUGGGAUAACUUCAGGAAACUGGGGCUAAUACCGGAUAGGAGCUCCUGCUGCAUGGUGGGGGUUGGAAAGUUUCGGCGGUUGGGGAUGGACUCGCGGCUUAUCAGCUUGUUGGUGGGGUAGUGGCUUACCAAGGCUUUGACGGGUAGCCGGCCUGAGAGGGUGACCGGCCACAUUGGGGCUGAGAUACGGCCCAGACUCCUACGGGAGGCAGCAGUGGGGAAGAUUGCACAAUGGGUGGAAGCCUGAUGCAGCAACGCCGUGUGCGGGAUGACGGCCUUCGGGUUGUAAACCGCUUUCGCUCAUGACGAAGCUUUGUGUGACGGUAGUGGGUAAAGAAGCACCGGCUAACUACGUG
rnacentral:rRNA from 1 species